GACCAAGCAACAGUGGCCCAGUCCAAGGUGACCCAAGACAGUAACUGGGCUGCACCGACCACCUUGUCAAUCUCAUAUUCUGGUCAGCUCCAAUGAACAGUGUCUGUUUGGACAAUGUUGGCUCUGCGGGAUGAAAGAUGGGUUGCAGAGAAAAGGGACCAAUGGAAUUGCAUUAAGCACAACACUCUGAUCACUGCACAGUUUCGUGCUGCUAUAUGGCAUCGUGUCAUUGGUGUGUACUGAUUGCUGUAAAAGUGGAUUAAGACGUCUGAGGUGCUGGUUCCAAGGAUAUUCUUGCCCGAGUUAUGAUGCCAAACUGACCAAGUCCUCCAAGAACACUGUGAAAUAGGUCGCUAUUUUGCUUCUCCGAGCAAUUUAGUACUUCCCCUUUUCCUGCACUCAGUUUCAGUAAUUUUACAUAAGGAUUUGUGCGAUACACAUGAUUUUUUUUUUCAUAUUUGUGAACCCUAAUGUGUUUUAUUUUUGUACUUGAACAUCAAAUUAUUGGCAAUGGUCAAAGUAUCUUAUGUGGAACCAAGGUCUAGCACAGCAUGCAUAGCAAGGACGUCAUAAAUACUUCACUCGACCCUGGUCCCAUUAUGCCUAGAUUGAAAUUAUCCAUUUGUGAUGCGUACUGUGUUAUUGUUUUUACCUUCUUUUUUAAUCUAUUUUCGAAAUUUUACUAAUCUUACUUUAACGAACCUGUAACAACUUCCAUCUGGUGGACAUUACUGAUCUGAGGGCCAUGCCGAAAUGCCUGCCCACUAACCCCAGCAUUAGACAAAGUACCACCAACAGUUAAAUGUAAGUAGUCUGUCCAUGAUUUUGGUGCUAACCCAUACUCCAGGCAUUCACGCAGGAUAUCUAUCCAUAACUCACCGCCAGAGGCAUCCACAUAUGGAUUGUUUCCAGUGUAGACAUGCAUUUUAGGGCCUUGGAGUGAUUCCAUGUUGAUUACAACUCCUUGGUGGGCUUGUGCCUGACCCUGGAGUGAGUGGCUGUGACCUCUAGCUGCAACUGUGAGCUCUGAAUUCGGACCCAUCUGCCAGAUAUGCCUUAUUGUAGUGGCAAUAUCAGAAACCGACUUUGGAUAUAGUACUGCCAAAGGGAGUAGCUGAAACCUAUUGCCGAAGUCUUUGGCUGCAUGGUGAACAUCAUCAAAGCUGAAAUGACCAUCAACGGAUAGGGUUCUCAAUGAAGAAGGGUUGCUGGAAAAACAAAGCUUGAAAGUUGAGGAGACGAAGGUGUUAAGCUGGUUUUCCUGCGCGUUUGUUAGCAAAAAGGCUAAAGGAGUGGUAUGGAGGAGCCAAGGAAAUGGAGGGUCGAGGGGAGAAUUUAAAGGUGAAGAUCUUGGAUGGCUGAGUCAACCAAUAUUCAGUUUAAAGAAUCCGUAUGAAGACUGCCUACUUGUUAGGACUUGCUUUUGGUUCUCCUUUUUGUGCUCUUUUAUUUAUAACAGCAACCAUCAAACACAGAUGCCAAGUUGAAGAGAAAAGUCACAAGAAAGAAGAUUUCACAAAUCUUUGCACUUUUUCCCAACAGUUGCAACCACAAUCUCACCUUUUCACCAAAGACAAACAUGUCUCGAAAUUUAUCUCACUUACCAUGUUAAGGAAACGUUUUCCUAUAUCUAGAAAAAGGAAAUACCCAAUGGCUUCACGGUAUGCGUAUCUCCACUGCCUCUGAUGACAGGAAUGCCCAUACCUAUGUCUCUCGUACAUGAAUUAUUAUAGACUAUGUUUUUGUCGCUGUCGGAAUUUAAGCAUCGCGUAUCUGCAUUGAGAUCAGAUGAGAGCCUACGGGCCUCCCUUGGAUUUAUUUGAAGGGGAGGGAUGAUCAGGUGGGGUAUUUAUGGGUCCAUAUAACACGUGAAAUGCUAAUCUUUGUGUGCUUUGUGGGGUGAAGGGUUAUGAUUAGUCAUGUUGGGACCCUUUUGAACCAGUUUGAAGAGGUAGGAAGAAGAGCAGAGUAGAUGGGGAGGACAGAUUGAGGGAAGCACUGAAAGACUCUUCUACUUCCUCUCCGUUGUUUAUUGUUUUGAAGCCUAAGUUCCCAGCAAACGGACAAGUCCGAAGGAUUCUCUUGUUUAUUUGUUUGCAAGUUCAGUUAAAUUACGCUAGUGCAAUUAUUGCCUUCACUUUUUUGCAACGAGUUGCAUAACAGCACCAAGAUUUGCACUUGGAGAGGGAAGCAUCUUGCACUUCCCUUAGUAUUGGCACUGAACUUACCGUGUCAAUGGUUCUGCACUGCUGAAAAGUGGAGGCCAACUAAGCACUAGUGUAAAAGGAAAAACAGCAGUCAAAUUUGAGCAAGGGGCUGUUUUUUCUAGUUGGUAACUGGUUCUCAUGGAAACUGAAAGGGACGAAGGAAAGGAAUUCAACAUCUUCAAAAUUGAUACAUCUUGAAAAUUGAUCUCCGGAAACCCUCGUGUGCUUCCACAGAACAAUGUGCUUUAGAAGUUACUGCUUAUAGUGCAUCUGGCCUUGCAUUUGAUCACAUUCUUGAUUGGGAUUAACCAAAUAUUAGCUCAUUAAAUCCUGUUAACACA